rnacentral:rRNA from 1 species
GACGAACGCUGGCGGCGUGCUUAACACAUGCAAGUCGUACGGUAAGGCCCCUUCGGGGGUACACGAGUGGCGCACGGGUGAGUAACACGUGAGUAACCUGCCCACAACUUUGGGAUAACGCUAGGAAACUGGUGCUAAUACUGGAUAUGUGCUCCUGCUGCAUGGUGGGGGUUGGAAAGCUCCGGCGGUUGUGGAUGGACUCGCGGCCUAUCAGCUUGUUGGUGGGGUAGUGGCCUACCAAGGCGGCGACGGGUAGCCGGCCUGAGAGGGUGACCGGCCACAUUGGGACUGAGAUACGGCCCAGACUCCUACGGGAGGCAGCAGUGGGGAAUAUUGCACAAUGGGCGCAAGCCUGAUGCAGCAACGCCGCGUGCGGGAUGACGGCCUUCGGGUUGUAAACCGCUUUCAGCAGGGACGAAGCUUUUUGUGACGGUACCUGCAGAAGAAGCACCGGCUAACUACGUG